rnacentral:rRNA from 1 species
UGCGCAGGCGGCUUAUUAAGUCAGUGGUGAAAUCUCUCGGCUCAACCGAGAAACUGCCAUUGAAACUGAUAAGCUUGAGUGUAGUUGUAGUAGGCGGAAUAUAGCAUGUAGCGGUGAAAUGCUUAGAUAUGCUAUAGAACACCGAUCGCGGAGGCAGCUUACUAAACUAUCACUGACGCUCAUGCACGAAAGCGUGGGGAGCAAACAGGAUUAGAUACCCUGGUAGUCC